GACGAACGCUGGCGGCGUGCCUAAUACAUGCAAGUAGAACGCAGUUGCGCACGGGUGAGUAACGCGUAGGUAACUGCCUCUUAGCGGGGGAUAACUAUUGGAAACGAUAGCUAAUACCGCAUACUGUGAGCUGGACCUGAGUUGUAUUAGCUAGGUGGUGAGGUAAAGGCCCACCAAGGCGACGAUACAUAGCCGGGCUGGGAGGGAUAGCGGCCAAACUGGGGCUGGAGAACGGCCCAGAAUCCCUAGGGAGGCAGCAGGAGGGAAUCUUCGGGAAUGGACGGAAGUCUGAACGAGGAACUGCGGGGGAGUGAAGAAGGUUUUCGGAGCGUAAAGCUCUGUUGUUAGAGAAGCGGUAACUAACCAGAAAGCGACGGCUAACUACGUGCCAGCAGCCGCGGUAAUAC
rnacentral:rRNA from 1 species